rnacentral:rRNA from 1 species
AACGAACGCUGGCGGCAGGCUUAACACAUGCAAGUCGAACGCUCCGCAAGGAGAGUGGCAGACGGGUGAGUAACACGUGGGAACGUACCCUUUACUACGGAACAACUCCGGGAAACUGGAGCUAAUACCGUAUGUGCCCUUUGGGGGAAAGAUUUAUCGGUAAAGGAUCGGCCCGGGUUGGAUUAGCUAGUUGGUGGGGUAAAGGCCUACCAAGGCGACGAUCCAUAGCUGGUCUGAGAGGAUGAUCAGCCACAGUGGGACUGAGACACGGCCCAAACUCCUACGGGAGGCAGCAGUGGGGAAUAUUGGACAAUGGGCGCAAGCCUGAUCCAGCCAUGCCGCGUGUGUGAUGAAGGCCUUAGGGUUGUAAAGCACUUUCACCGGAGAGGAUAAUGACGGUAUCCGGAGAAGAAGCCCCGGCUAACUUCGUGCCAGCCGCCGCGGUAACAC